GAUGAAGAACGUAGCGAAAUGCGAUAAGUAAUGUGAAUUGCAGAAUUCAGUGAAUCAUCGAAUCUUUGAACGCACAUUGCGCCCAUUAGUAUUCUAGUGGGCAUGCCUGUUCGAGCGUCAUUAAGUCCACUUAAGCCUAGCUUAGUGUUGGGAGACUGCUCCAGUGGUGCUACCCUGUAGCUACCCUGCAGCUCCUUAAAGACAGCGGCGGAGUCGUGUUAUCCUCUGAGCUUAGUAAAUCAUUCUAGCUUUCGAGAGUAUCACUUCACCUGCCGUUAAACCACCUAAUUUUUAUGGUUGACCUCGGAUCAGGUAGGAAUACCCGCUGAACUUAAGCAUAUCAAUAAGCGGAGG
rnacentral:misc_RNA from 1 species